rnacentral:lncRNA from 1 species
AUGCUGAUAGUACUGUUUGGAACUGCAAGUCGACAAGAUUUCACCUUUUGGAGCAUGGAUUCAAAUUCCAACAUUGUGGUUGUAACUGGUUUUGGUCCCUUUAGACAAUACCUGGUUAAUUCUAGCUGGGAAGCAGUGAAGGAGCUGUCCAAGAGAGGCCUUGGAAAAAACAUAGAUCUUCGUAUCAUGCAGCUACCAGUGGUUUACCAAAAAGCAAAGGAACAAAUCUUCAGGAUAUGGACAACUCUUCACCCAAUAGUAAGUAGUUAUAAUGUUGGGUAAUUUUCCCCUUCAUUUCUAAAUAAUAUUUUCAGUAGAUCUUUAAAAAGAGCUCCAAAAGAUUAUUGCACAAUGUGUAUCAGGCAGUUCUGGAUUGUGACUGUUAAAAUGGUGAUGAAGGUUCCAAACAACUUUGGAGCACAAAUUAAUUAGCAU